GUCAGAGUAGUAGAAAAUAAUAUAUAAGGUUUAGGACCUUAAGGUAAAGAUUGCUUUCUUUGGCG
rnacentral:tRNA from 1 species